UACGAAGGGGGCUAGCGUUGUUCGGAUUUACUGGGCGUAAAGCGCGCGUAGGCGGAUUGUUAAGUCAGGGGUGAAAUCCUGGAGCUCAACUCCAGAACUGCCUUUGAUACUGGCAAUCUAGAGUCCGGAAGAGGUGAGUGGAACUCCUAGUGUAGAGGUGGAAUUCGUAGAUAUUAGGAAGAACACCAGUGGCGAAGGCGGCUCUCUGGUCCGGUACUGACGCUGAGGUGCGAAAGCGUGGGGAGCAAACAGG
rnacentral:rRNA from 1 species